CCCUAGCCCUGAUAGCAGUGGAAAUCCUUUUUUGUUUUUCCUUUAAAAACAAAAAAGAUUGCAACGGAUAGCAGGAUUAGCU
rnacentral:sRNA from 1 species